ensembl:lncRNA
GGACUGAGGAAGAGUGAGUUCAAGGUCCCACGAUAAUAAAACAAUAACAGUGGAGUCAAUAGAACUGCACCGCCCAAGGUCCCAGUGCCCAAGGUCAUGGUGCUUGGAGACUGCAGGACUAGGACCAGCCCUCCCAGAGAGAUGAAGAUCACGUGCUCUUCCUCCCCUGUGAGGCCUGUGUUUCUGCGCUGGCUCCUGACGCAAGCUCCCAUGAAAUUAAAUGACACUUACUUCUUGGAAGAAAAGUUAUGACCAACCUGGACAGCAUAUUAAAAAGCAGAGUCAUUACUUUGCCAACAAGGGUCCAUCUGGUGAAGGCUAUGGUUUUUCCAGUAGUCAUGUAUGAAUGUAAAAGUUGGGCUAUAAAGAAAGCUGAGCGCCAAAGAAUUGAUGCUUUUGAACUAUGCCAAAG